GACGAGCGUACGGAACGCCGAGGAACUGAAGCACGCGCUUCCUGUCUGAACCCAGCGCCGUUUCCACGACGAUGCCUCGGAGGGUGCCGUGACCGGCGAUGCCGACGCUUGUCACAGUCGCCGGCGACGAGGGCAACACUGAUCAUGAGGUACACUUGGGGGGCGGGCUCUCGGACCACCAGCCGGCAGGAGGGAGCGGGUCUUUUGGAGGUGGAGGCGGAGCUUAGGCCACAAACGGCGGUGUCGGGGUAAAGGACGCAGCGUGUGGCCGAAUCCUGCUCGGCCAAUGACACGGCAGCGCAGGACUCCGCCUCCUGGCAGGCUGAAACGCAGGGGGCGACAGGGGCGUCUGAGUGGCGUGUCGUAGGCACCGCACACGCGACUGUCAGGAAACAGGAAGCAGCUGAAGAAAUCCGCCGAGUCUGCGUCGUUCAGCUCGGCCACCGAGCAGCCAGGCUCGCUCUCACAGCCUAACACCAAAACACAAGUCAAACAGGAAGCUGCGCUGCCGCUUGUUGUAGGUGAGCCCCGCCCCACAAAUGCGAUUGGCGGCGCCUCGUCCAAUCACGUCCCAGUCCUGCCUGUCGCACAUCAAGAUGGACGGUGCCCUCAUCCACCCGCAGAGCAGAGAACCUGAGGUGGGCGGGGCAAGAAGCUCAAGAUGGACAACUCGCUCCGCAAGUCACGUUGCCGUGGUAACGUACUGCCGCUGGACAACACAUCGGCGCGCAAAGACCACACUACGCAAGCACGGCAACACGGGUACACACAAAUACACGACAACAACCACACCACAGUACGCGUCGUCUCACGCUCGAGACGCACACUUGAUGCCGUACCACCGUUUAGGCUGUUGCGGUUGAGGAUGAAGCCGUGGCAACAGUCGUCGCGGCGACAGCUCAGCUCACAGAAACGAUGAGCGUCGGCCAGCGAGGCGUUGGCGAAUACAGACGUGCGAAACACGCCAGACUCCGCCUUCAACAUCGAUGACCUCCCAAAGCCAGAAGUAGACUCCGCCCCUAAAACACAGCUGACCGCCUUAACACGCGGAUGCUCGUACGCGUGCUACCUGGUUGCUACGGUUGCUUACCAAUCUUCCUGAGGACCAGCACAUCAGAGGCCCCGCCCCUAACCCUCACGAAGCACCUCAACCAAUCAAAGAGCUCGGCCUCACUGUUACCCAGAAACCCUUUCACCUGCACCCGCACACGUACACCAUCAGUGUUUAGUGUGUACGGGUGUGUGCACGCGUGCCCGCGUGUGUACCUGGUCAGAAGUGUUGCAGUGCGUGUUCAGAGUGUGUGUGCUAUACACUUCGCACUGGCCGUCGGACAGCGCCGCAUGGUGGCAGGAUGUGUCCACUGCACACGCUGGGGGGACAAACGACCACACACGUGACUGCACCACACACACUCAACUCAUGUGUGUGUGUUUUACCUUUAACACAUGUUCUGAGGUCAGAGGUCAUGCGCCGAAGAACUUCUGUGUCUUUAGCUCCAAAGAUGACCUCUGACCUGGGGACUGCCUGAAACCUGCUGAGGACUACACAUGCAAAAACACACACAUUCACAUACGGUACAUGCACAUACAUUAAAAAAAACGUAAAUCUUGUUUCUGAUUGGUUGACUUUUCUUUGUCACCUGAGCAGUCGUCAUCGGUCAGGGGCAAAUUACUCUUGGUCCAGUCAAGCUCCGCCCCCUCGCUGUUAAAGCAGCUCCACCUGCCGGACAGGAAGUCAGACUGAGCCGGCAGGAAGUCACCCCCUUCAGAGCAGCGAAGGCCACGCCUCUGACAGUCUGUCACGCCUACACACACGCACACACAUUAGAGUCCGCAAAUAAUGGUUGACAGUCGUGCCGAUGAUUCGUAGCUCACAUUGAUUGAUUGAGAAGGCUCCAGGAGAUGAGGAGGAGCCUCUCGGACACCGGUUGCAUAAAUCCGACCCCUCGGUGUCUUGAUAGGUUCCCUCGGGACACAGAAGACACGCCCCCUCAACAGAGUAGCUGCCCGCCGGGCAAAUGACUGCGCACAAAGAUGACGUCACCGGGUUGUGGUGUGGCGGUUUUAGUUCAGUCAACUGUGAAAUCCACGCUACGUGAUGAUGUCAUCAAUGGACUCACUGCAGCCUUCGCCAUCAUCACUUAGUCGGUAACCGUGGGCACAGCCCACUCGUGGCGUCGUCGUGGAAACCAGCUGUGGUCGUGAGGUGACGUUGAUGUGCUGAGUAACCAGACGCUCAAAACUCUCCAGAAGACGUGAGACGUUCAGGAACGUUGCUAGUGCGCCGGAAAAUAUCACAUGACGUCACAGGAAAAAUGACGUGUCGCUCUCAUCACCCAUGUUGACUCACCGAUGUCACGAAGCGCAGGCAGUUCAGAGGUCGGGAGGUCAGACAUGACGGUGGUCCAACUGACCGUAACGCUCCAUAACGUGUUGCCAUUGCAACGCACACGCAAUGAAGAGGCGUCACACAGAGACACGCUGCGCCCCGACAUGGGGAGCUGCACAUGUGCACAAACAAAAGGCAAUAUUAUUCGCUGUGUUGCUGUCAUAUUUGCUUGUGUGUGUGUGUGUGUGAGAUUUGACCUGAGCUGAGCAGAGCCCCCUGCUGGUCAUGUCACGUAACAGCUCUGAGUGCAUCGCUUGUGGGUUUCGACAGGGCGCUGUAAGUGACCAAAUAUGAGAUGUCCACACGCGCUGAGGAGGUACACUCACUACACACACACACACACACACAUACACACCAUAAGUACUACACACACAAGGAAAGCUUUGAAAAAUUUGUUCAGUUUCAAAAGUACUCUGGCAGGCUCCAGGCAGGGGUCGCAGGUCUCCAUCCCACCGGCGACCGAUCGUGUCGCAGGUGAAGCUGCGGACGGGAAGCGAGUUGUGGUAACCGCGGUGACACACCAGAUCGCAGCUUUGGCGGCCAUCUUGUGCAGGGCGGCACACGAGGGCGCCGUGGGCGACGGCGGCUGCGGGGCAAGCGUCAGGACCUGGAGGACACAAGAUACACACCAACAGGAAGUGACAUCGCACUGAAGAGGGAUAAAGGAGCCGUCGGGAUGACAUUGGAGACCCUGAAGCUCACACCAGCUGGGACCUAAAUGCAACACAGAAGCAUGAUAGUGAGUGUGUCUGGCCAUCAGGGCCCGUGGAAGCAUCCUGCAGCCUCUCCCCGCUCACAGGGUGGACACACCAGCCUGCGGCGCCCUCUGUCUGGAGCACGGAGAAGCGACCAUCCUGUUCGCAGUCACAAAAACACUUCCUGUCACAUGCUCGGCUCAGCUCCAUGCCGUCCUGGUCCACACACCAACACUGCCCCCUGCUGGAGUCACACUGCAGCGGAAGGAAGUGACCCGAGGGCGAGCAUCGCAAGGACGACUGAAGAUGGCACGAAGACGCACCUGAUGGCAAUGGGGACAAAUGCGUACUUUUCAGCCUGUGUCGCCUUUGGCUAGCUAGUCAGUCAUGUGACCAUCAGUCUUACACUGUGGAAUGGAUCCGUUGGUUCGGGUCCCGGGCACUUGUUGUCCUUCAGCGUCAACGCACCAACACUCUUGGCCCCGCCCACUGCACUGCACGGGCCUACGCGAAGACGCACGCACGCACUUGCGAGUAAUGACGUGAUGAAGGGGAAGGUAAGGAGUUCAAGAUUUUAUCCGUCAUGAUUUCAAGAUGAUUUAAUGGUGCAAUGCAGUUCAUUGUGCUGCUCCUUCUGGUGUGCUUUCCUUCACCACAGGGAGGCAGUAUAAUACCGUCAUGAAGGAGGAUAGACUUCCACCUCUUCUACUAUGUAAGUUGCUGUUUGUCAUUUUUUUUUAGAGGAUAAAAGAAAAAAAUAUGCCUGUGAGCAUUGUUAUAUUCUCAGUUUACAUGUGUUGCUCCAGGCCUUGUGUUCAAAUCCCUUUGCUGAAAGAGUUGUAAAACUGCCACUAUCGAGGCUAAUAUUAGCAUGCCAAUUUACCGAACCCUGUUAGCAUUAAGCUAGCAGGCUGUUCUGAAAGGAACGUUUUGUUUUAGAAUGUACAUGUAAUACCCUUUUUUUAAAAAGGUUAUUACACGAGUAUGCUUCAGUUAGGAGCUGCAAGAAGCGGCGUAAAGGAUCUUUUUAUCUUUUGAAGACUUGUUCAAUAUUUGCCAAACUGCUGCUUGUUGUCAGGUGAAUUCCGUUGCCACCACACUGCGCUCGUAUCUCAAGAUUGCGCUCGUCAGUUGAGGCAGAAAUUGUUUGGCAUCCGGCAGGAACUCGGGUGUCCGUACACGAGCAGCGGGGCCGGCCCGCCAAAGAAAUACCUGAAGCGUC